AUGAAUCAGAGAGGGUUUAUGUUGCAGAAUCUCUCAUUUCCAGCGCCGGAGAAGGACUGUUUUCGAAAGUGGCAGUGGGCCCCAAUACCGCCAUGUCUUUUUAUAAUGGAGUCUGAAUUACACACCAAGAGGUUGACAGCAGGGACUGGGCCCUUAAUGGGAACACCCUCUCCCUCGAUGAAGAAACGGUCAUUGAUGUGCCUGAGCCCUAUAACCACGUAUCCAAGUUCUGUGCCUCCUUGGGACACAAGGAGAAUCACUCCUUCACUCCAAACUGCGUCUAUGAUAUGUUUGUCCACCCCCGCUUUGUGCCCAUCAAAUGCAUCCGCACCUUGCGAGCGGUGGAGGCUGACGAGGAGCUCACGGUCGCCUACGGCUAUGACCACAGUCCCCCUGGCAAGAGUGGGCCUGAAGCCCCCGAGUGGUACCAGGUGGAGCUAAAAGCCUUCCAGGCCACCCAGCAAAAGUGAAAGGCCUGGUCCCGGGGGUCCAGAGACCUGGCACAAGAAACUUGGAUCUAUGCACUACGAUUCUCCGACAAUGGGACAGCCAGGGACUGCUCGUGCUGCACCAUCACAUCCUCUCAGGCUGCGUUAGCAGCGAUGCUCUCGCACACCAGGUCUGACUGCAUUACUCAUACCAGAUUUAAAAUUAGCUAGCCUUGCAGCAACAUCCUACUGAGAGGUUUCGUGGAGCACUCGACCUACGACGGCGUGACGUUCGGUGGUGGUUUGGGUCUAAAUCUGUCCCAAAUUCAGAGAUGCCAAAUGAUCAGACUGAAAACGGGAGAUGGGGCUUUUCGGUCAUGUGUCAUCAGUGGGUUUUUUUUUUUUUUUCCCUCCGGCCAAUGCAGAUUGCAUUCUCACACUUGCAUCUGCGCCGUGUGGGAAAUAGAGAAUGAUUACAUCUGUAUUCUCUAAAUGUAGUAUAAUUUGCCUUCUAACCUUUGAUCUGUAUCUUGCAAUAGACUGGCUUUGUUUUUUUCCUAGUACACAGAAGCCCUCUUUUUGGGUCAUUUCAAUUCUCAGUCCUGUUCCCUGUCUUAGCUAUCCUCCCGGAUGGAUGAUGAGAGAAACCUUCCAAACAGAUUUUGUGUCACUGGGAGUGCGUAGGUCUUUCUGGCUCUUUGUUUCAUUAUUACACCCUAAUAUAAAGUACUGGCUCAUAGAGCUGGGAGUUGUUAUUAUAGAAUUAUUAUUCUCACAUGUAAACAAAGAUAUCUUUGCUUUAAGAUGUGGGAAGAAAUGAAUUUACUUCGUUUGCAUUAAGUUAUGGGAGAGUUGUAAUAUAUACUUUAAGAAAGAAGAGAGGACUAUUAGUAUUUCUAAGCAGUAACUGUGGCAAUUUUGCAAUAUCUUCAAUAGUGUUAGUCAUUUUUUUUCUCCUUGGGGACACAUUAAAUGUACAUAACAUAGCGCAGUCUGGCUUGUGGCACAGUGCA
rnacentral:lncRNA from 1 species